CUCAAAUUGCUCUCAUUUAGGUUCCUGAUGUUCAUCUGUGAUCUGCAGGGAUUGCUCUGCUGCUCUGAAUUGCACCAGAGCAAUCCCAGCCAACUGAACAGACGCUCCUCUUCACUCCUCUGCUUUAUGGUGAUGAUGCCACUGGUACUGGACCUUUGGAGACACAGUUACUUCUCCUGAUCACCACUGGGUUCCUUCACAGCCUGCUGUUACUCCUGCUUCUCUGAAGUAUAUACUCUUAUGUUGGAUGGGAAAAUAUGGCCUCUAACAACAUGAGUAACAUCCUUUCACUGCACACCAGUUGCACAUAGAGAAGAGGAAAACUAGAAUGUCAAGAAGGAAAAAGCACCAUCUCUUUUACCUGUCAGUACUAGGACCUACAGACCUUUCCAUCUUAAUUUAUCAUGAAGACCUAGCUAAAAAUACAGUUCCUGACAAGUGGUUCCAAAUAAAUUAAUUGAAAACAUCAACAAGAAAGAUCAUUGACACUUCUGCUAGUUUUACUUUCCUGCAAAAUGAAUCAUUCUGGGUACUGCUGUUUCUUCUGUAGCCUGGAGUAUAACUGUUUACACAUUUAAAAGAGGAUUGUUCAGCUCAUGCAGUCACCUUGGAAAAUGCCAACCAGAUUCCUUUAUGAUGGAACUAAACUGGGAUAUAUUCCCUGGAAGCAUUGUGAAAAUACACCAACUGCAAAAAGGGACAAAGCUCAUGGGCAACACAAGGACCAAUCUAAAUUAAACUCCCCUUGAAAUGUGUACAUCGGGGACACUGGAUCUUAAACAUUAUUUGUUUUGUUUUGCAAAUCUACUGCUUAGCUACACUGCUAGACCAUACAUAACCCUGAAGACCAUAAAGUUUAUUCACUGAAUGCUGAACUUCUCUGAAAAUCUAAAUGUGAGAAUGACAAAAAGCAGUUCACAGACAUUGUAGUUCUUCUCUGCACAGAUAAAUGCACAGUGUCUCAAAAAUACUUCAACAGAGUCUUUUGAAAAUCCAUGGCAUCAUCGGAGAAACAGAGCUGACUGAUUUUGUCUGAAAAAAAAAUUUAGAAGAUGGUUUCAUUUGUAUUUUAGCACAGGAAAUUGUCAGAAGUCUGCCAACAGUUCUGUAAAAUUCUCCAUCUCCUCACUACUUCUUCAAUCUGCAUCCUUUCCCUAAUGAAAUAUACCAUCUCUGCUAUCAAUUCAGCAGUGUGCAAGCACACGCUCAGCUUUCUAGGAGCAAUUCAGUAACAUUCAACCACCCAGAUGUCUGGAAAUGUCUUCACCAGGAACCUGGCAUAACUGGUACAGAUGCUGAAGGAACCUGGGUGAUGGUUGGCAAAAAAGAGGGACUAAUACAAUUAAAAGAAGAUUAUACAAUUGCUGUCAACAACUCAGAUUGGAUAAAAUAUCAGUGCAUCAUACAUGAAGAUAAUUUAUAUGUGCAAGCUUUAAACAUGGAUAAUGUCUUGUGAAUUUCAUGAAGAAGAGAUCGAAUCAUUGCUAAUUCCGAAGUUCAGUAAAAGUAUGAAUGCUCACCAUAGGGAGAUCGCUUACUUUUCUGAAGGAAGGUGGCUGUAUUGGGGCAGUAUGUACAUUUGUGAACAACCGUUUUCAAGGAUGAAACACAGGAAGAGUAAAAUUUCACCAAAAAUCUCUGAUGAACACCUUGAGAACUCACAGAGAAUUGCAACCACUGCUAUAAAACCAGACAUUAAUGCAUUACUUUCACAAAAAAAGCUCUUGGUUGCAACUGACUCCCAGUCCUUGGACUCCCACCCACUUCAUAAUUAAGUGCCCUACCUGAAAAGAAGGAUGUGGUUUGUUUUCUGAGUGAGGAGAGAGAAGCUAAAUAUUUCCACUCCUGUAUAACAGAAAAUCCUCUGAUUUCAACGAGAUCACACCCCGAGUGGUUAGUUAAUACUGGAAACAUAAAAAGUAGCCAUGUAGGAAGACCCAUUUAGGCAGCCUUCUUACUCCUGAUGCAGUGAACUGAUUACCCAGGAUGAAGCUAAGCUAGCAGAAAAUGGAGAAAUGUAAUAGAUAUACAUCAGAGGAAACUGCGUCCAUCUUCCCUAGUGGAGAACAUCAUGAUGUUCUGCAGUGACUGCACUGGGCUAGGAAAAGAAAUGACUGCUGCUGGUAAGUGAACAGAAAAACAGAAGAGUGACUAACUAGGUCUGCAACAGGGAUAACAUCUCACUUUGCUUGGAACAGUACUGCAGCAGAACCCUGCAGUAUAGGAGCAGAAGUCUACUUCAUUAAAUACUGUAUGAUUAUAUGAAGUGUUAAAACACAGAAAUCACUACCAACUAUACUACCCAUCAUAACAUGCUCAGUUUGGACUUUGAGCUACCUUCAAAACUUUUUUAUUUUUAAUUAUUUUUUUAAAUAUAACAGUUCUGCCCAACACCAGAAUGGAUGAAGUAUAUAGCAGCUUUUGUGAACAUACACUGUGUUUGAAAACUAUGUUAUGUAUAUUUUAAUUUGGAGGUCAAAUUCUGUGGGUUCCCCUUAUUUAGGUUGUGCCAGCCCAUGGAAUCAACUAAAGUAACAUGGAUUUGGCCAUACAUCAGAGCAGGAAAGCAUACCGCAAAGAACCAUGGUUUUAUGUCUGUGCAGUUAUGCCACAUUCUCACCUUUAUGAGGCAUGGCUUGCAGCCAUGCAGAGGGAAGAAUGUGUGGAAAUCAGGAACCCAUGGAAAUAUUCUUCUAAACCCAUAGAGCUGAUGCCAUUUGAGCAUAAACAUUAACAUUCUAAUCUAAAACGUUUUAUUCUUUACUGAAACUGACGUUAAGUGCAGUGAAUAACAUAAUCACUGAACAAUCCCAUGUGAUGGCGAAUGCUGUUGUUUUCAACAAAGACAAAACCAAAAGUAUAGACACUUACCUUCCUUCCCUCCUUUCUUUUUGCACUUUUUCAGUUCUUUCCUUCUCUUCCCUCAUUCUCCCUUGUUCUAAUUUUUUACAGAGGAAAAGAAAAGAAAAUGUUGAAACAGCAAAAGAAAUCUUUAAAGAAAUUGAUAUUUUGAAAGGUAAAUGUUAAAUAAAAUUGUGAGAAGAGCUUUUCACCAGCUCAGAAUAAUGGGUCUUAUUGUACUGCUCUUUCUGUGAACUCCUCAAACCUGUGGCCC
ensembl:lncRNA